rnacentral:rRNA from 1 species
AGGCGUCGACGGGUAGCCGGCCUGAGAGGGUGUCCGGCCACACUGGGACUGAGAUACGGCCCAGACUCCUACGGGAGGCAGCAGUGGGGAAUAUUGCACAAUGGGCGCAAGCCUGAUGCAGCGACGCCGCGUGGGGGAUGACGGCCUUCGGGUUGUAAACCUCUUUCAGCACAGACGAAGCGCAAGUGACGGUAUGUGCAGAAGAAGCACCGGCCAACUACGUGCCAGCAGCCGCGGUAAUACGUAGGGUGCGAGCGUUGUCCGGAAUUACUGGGCGUAAAGAGCUUGUAGGUGGUUUGUCGCGUUGUUCGUGAAAUCUCACGGCUUAACUGUGAGCGUGCGGGCGAUACGGGCAGACUAGAGUACUGCAGGGGAGACUGGAAUUCCUGGUGUAGCGGUGGAAUGCGCAGAUAUCAGGAGGAACACCGGUGGCGAAGGCGGGUCUCUGGGCAGUAACUGACGCUGAGAAGCGAAAGCGUGGGGAGCGAACAGGAUUAGAUACCCUGGUAGU